CAUUGAAUCUGGGCUUAGAUUGACGCUGGCGGCAGGCCUAACACAUGCAAGUCGAACGGUAACAGGAAGCAGCUUGCUGCUUCGCUGACGAGUGGCGGACGGGUGAGUAAUGUCUGGGAAACUGCCUGAUGGAGGGGGAUAACUACUGGAAACGGUGGCUAAUACCGCAUAACGUCGCAAGACCAAAGAGGGGGACCUUCGGGCCUCUUGCCAUCAGAUGUGCCCAGAUGGGAUUAGCUUGUUGGUGAGGUAACGGCUCACCAAGGCGACGAUCCCUAGCUGGUCUGAGAGGAUGACCAGCCACACUGGAACUGAGACACGGUCCAGACUCCUACGGGAGGCAGCAGUGGGGAAUAUUGCACAAUGGGCGCAAGCCUGAUGCAGCCAUGCCGCGUGUAUGAAGAAGGCCUUCGGGUUGUAAAGUACUUUCAGCGGGGAGGAAGGUGUUGUGGUUAAUAACCGCAGCAAUUGACGUUACCCGCAGAAGAAGCACCGGCUAACUCCGUGCCAGCCGCCGCGGUAAUUA
rnacentral:rRNA from 1 species